rnacentral:rRNA from 1 species
GGGCUUGACAUCCCACGAACCUGCCCGAAAAGGUGGGGUGCCCGCAAGGGAGCGUGGAGACAGGUGGUGCAUGGCUGUCGUCAGCUCGUGUCGUGAGAUGUUGGGUUAAGUCCCGCAACGAGCGCAACCCUCACCCCUAGUUGCCACCGGGUUAAGCCGAGCACUCAAGGGGAACUGCCAGCGUCAAGCUGGAGGAAGGCGGGGAUGACGUCAAGUCAUCAUGCCCCUUACGCCCUGGGCUACACACGUGCUACAAUGGCCAGUACAAAGGGACGCGAGACUGCGAAGUGGAGCUAAUCCCAAAAAGCUGGUCUAAGUUCAGAUUGCAGUCUGCAACUCGACUGCAUGAAGGAGGAAUCGCUAGUAAUCGCGUAUCAGCCGGCGCGGUGAAUACGUUCCCGGGCCUUGUACACACCGCCCGUCACACCACGAAAGCUGUCUGUACUCGAAGUCGCUGAG